GCUUGAAGGAACCUGCUUGAGGGAACCUGCUUGAGGGAACGUGUGUGAACCUACCUGCUUGUUGAUUAAUUAUUAUGUCCUUCAAGCAUGAAUUAAUUAACACCGUAUGGUUGUUAUGUGGGUUCGGAAUAUUCAAUAUAAGCUCAGCUUCUACAAUUGAUUUAAGUAGGAAUCAAAUCGGAGUACGUCUACAGAGGAUUCAGAGGGGACCAGGCCUUCCGCGAUGAAUUUUUCUUACAAGAAACCCUUGGAGGAAAAGUACCCUGCAAAAUAUCAAGAAGUACAAACAACACUGUGAAGAAGAACUUCUGUGAAGAAGAAAUGGUAAGGGUUAAAGGGAAAAGGAUUCCACCAGUUUGGGAAAUCUGGGAAGAUAGAUAUACAAUGCUACAUCAGAAGUGCGAGGACUGAGUUUAUUCACAGCUGGAAAAGAGUCCGCAUCAAAGCAAAGACAAGAGUAUUACACUCUUCAAAUUGUAGCUUAGAGCAGUGUACUAAUGGGCCCUCUUCUGGGGCAUGGUGUCUGAAAGGACAUGUGUUUACAGAAACUCAGAGGUUGUAUUUAUUUCCACAGCAUCAUAUUUAAAGAGAUCAUAGGGUGAUGAAACAGAAGUUCUGCAGCAUAUGUAAAGAGAUGUUUUACAGAUAAAGGAAUAGUCCACAUCCGGAGUUCCUCUGCCUAUGUGAAUCCUGAGUUACUGGAUUUUUACAAUUUUUCUCCUUUUCAUAAAUCCAUUUAGUUUAUUGAACACAUGGUAUGUUCAUGAUUAGAAUGAAAUUGCCAGGAACACAGGACUUUGUUUUAUUCACACUUGAAUCCCCAGUGCCUAGAAGAAUACCUGGAAUAUAUUAAAAGCUCAAUAAAUAUGUGAGCACUUGAAUUAAUUGGUGACUGCCAAACUAUGUGCUGUAGAGGAAAUAAGAGGUGAUUGAAAUAUAGUUCUUUUCUUUUUAAAAAUUAUUAAUUGACACAUAAAAAUAGUACAUAUUUAUGAGCAACGGUGUGAUAUUUUGAUUCAUGUAUACAAUAUGCAAUGAUCAAAUCAGGAUAAUUAGCGUAUCUAUCACUUUAAACAUUUAUUAUUUCUUUGUGUUCAGAACAUCCAAAAUUCUCUCAUCUAGCUAUUUGAAAACACACAAUAAAUUAUUAUUAACUAUAGUCACCCUACAGUGGUAUAGAACACUAGAACUUAUUCCUCCUAAGUAGCUGUAAUUUUUUCAUAUAGUUCUUUUCUCCAUGAAGCUUAUUGUCUUUGUUUUUAGGGACUGGAGCCAUUUAAGAGUGGAUUAUUUUUGAAAAGUGUGAUCAUAAUUCUAAAAGUCACUGAAGUUUUCAUUGUGUUCUUGGCUUACCCAUGGGAUAAACUAGUUUCUCAUCCUCUGUCACUGUACACUCCAGUAACAUCUAUCCUUGCUUAAUGUGAAGUGACUUAAAAUGAGAUUAUAAUGCAGA
rnacentral:lncRNA from 1 species